rnacentral:misc_RNA from 1 species
UUAUCAUCGCUAGGAAUUUCCCGUGAUACGCAUGCGCUACUUCAAUAAAAUCAGGCAAUGUGGCGGCAGCUGAUAUUGCUGCUGGCUGAACUAAGUAAUACUGCUACAUCAUUGGCUUUACCUAGUACUGCUGCUACUAGCAUUACUGUAUCUCUAUCACAACAACUAGUAGCACCCGGCAUUGUGGCCUGUAGAUUCCCACUACAAUGGAGACAGCAAAUGGAUGAAGGAACAAGGGUGUUGCUGUCAUGAAUGUACCACGAAAGCACAACGGAAAGUGCCUAUUAUUCAAUACUGCCUCUCUAUAACACUUCAAUUGACACUCCCUGUCGGAUAUUGCACGCCAUUGAUGCUAUCAUUACAAUCAUACAGAAUAACUGAAGUGGUACCACAUUACCUAAUGAGAUGUUCCUAUUCUAAACCGUGUUUCUAUCGUGCAGUUUCUCGUUAGAAUAGAUAACAUCUCACCUAACGGAUUAUUAAUUGCCUCAGUUGGUGUGUCGAUUUAUCAACCAAAUCGGAUGUUCCUUUUCUCAUUUUCUUGUAAUUAUCAUUAGAAUAUGACUAGUCAAAAAGCACUAUCAACAUUAGUUGCAUCAUAACUACCUUAUUAGUGUUUUAUGUAUAUAUAUAUGUUUAGAACACCCUCUGUUUUGUUUGUGGGGCAAAUAGUGGCUACUUAAUAAUCAGACUCUAUGUUUAUAGCAGGUGGUAAUUAAGUAUUGUAUUUCCUAAUUGAAAUUGAAUUAUAAACUUGCUAAUAUAUAUCGAUAUAUAUAUAUAUGUAUAUAUAAGUGUAUAUAUAUAUUAAAAAAAGAAAAAAAAAAACUAGCGUUUCAUUGAACGAGCGAAGAACACGGAGACAGGUAUAAUUAAGUUUCCACCGGAAGUGGAGGAGGGAGAUUCGUGUCUUAUCGUUUAUGAUUCUUCGGAGUAGAUUUCAUAAUUCAACUAUUUAUAAAAGUGAAACUGGUUUUGGAUCUGUAUAUGUGCUGUAGCUGGUCACCGCCGACCAACUUCCUUCAACAUGGCGACGGAAGUGAAGGAUGUGCUUGCGACUGCUAGCUCCAACACCACUAAGGCUUCCUCUACCACUAAAGACACUUCCCCUACGAUGGUGACACCCAACACUCUCGAAAACACUUCUGUAUCAGUUGUCUCUACCUCUAGUGCCCCCAAUACUACUGGGAUGAGCGCCUCGAAUCCUAGUAGUCCCAAUAUACCUGAAGUGCCAACAGAAGGAAAUGGUGGUAGUAGCCAGCCACAGCAAAAUACAACACAGCAACAAACAGCAUCUCAACAGACAGGAUUAUUACAAACUAGUGAUACCAAAACACCUACAGGUAGUGUACCACCACCUUCAACAACUUCCAUAUCCAGCAGUUCUCAAACCACUACCAGUCCUGUCGGUGCAGGCGCCGGCAUGAAAAAAGCUGAUAAACAGAAACCAAUGCCUCUAGAUACUCAUAUUUCUGUGGGACCAGGUCAUGGACCAAAAACUCCUUCGUUGGGGACGGCUAGAGAUCGUGAAAAGAAAAUCGGUCAUCGGAGGGUGGACGAAUCAGGUGUUGUGACAUAUAAAAAGAAACCAACCUCAGAAUUGAUGGCUGCCAUCCAACUGGGGAUUGGUCAAAGUGUUGGUGGACUCUCAUCCAAACCAGAGCGUGAUGUACUCUUACAAGAUUUUGCUGUAGUUGAAAGUGUGUUUUUUCCAAGUGAAGGUAGUAAUCUUACACCAGCUCAUCACUACAGUGAUUUUCGAUUCAAGACGUAUGCUCCUGUAGCGUUUCGAUAUUUCCGUGAACUAUUUGGAAUCCAUGCUGAUGAUUUCAUGCUCUCAUUGUGCACAGAACCCCUUCAGGAGCUUUGUAACCCUGGAGCUAGUGGCAGUAUAUUUUAUAUUACUGAUGAUGAUGAAUUUAUCAUAAAGACUGUCCAACACAAAGAGGCAGAAUUUUUACAAAAAUUGCUUCCAGGCUAUUAUCUGAAUUUAAAUCAAAAUCCACGAACCCUCUUACCAAAAUUUUAUGGUCUCUACUGUUAUCAAUGUGCCGGUAAAAAUAUCCGUUUUUGUGUGAUGAAUAACCUGCUGCCGUCUUCCAUCAAAUUAACUGAAAAGUAUGACUUGAAAGGUAGCACUUACAAACGGAAAGCGUCCCGACAUGAACGAGCAAAAGAAAGUCCCACAUUAAAAGAUCUGGAUUUUUUGGACAACCAUCCUGAUGGCCUCACACUCGAAAAAGAAACAUAUGAUGCUCUGAUCAAGACUAUACAAAGAGAUUGCCGGGUGUUAGAAAGCUUCAAGAUUAUGGAUUACAGUUUACUGGUUGGUAUAUAUAAUCUUGACCUCGCAGCUGCCAAGGAGAAAGAAAAAGAGAAGGCAUUCGAUGUGAAAACUGAUCCAGCUGCUCCUUUAAAUGUGAAUGAAGAUGGACCUGGUAGAGGAUGGGCAACAAUUAAAGUAAACCUUGCCCGCGGAAAGUCUAUACGCACGCGUUUAGCACAAUAUUCCACUGCAAUGGAAGCAAUUCAAGCAGAUACCUCAGAUCGGCAAGGGGAAACAGAAGACGAUGUUCAACUUGGAGGCAUUCCUGCACGAAAUAGUAAAGGAGAAAGAUUAUUAUUAUAUCUUGGCUUAAUUGAUAUUUUGCAAAGUUAUCGCUUGAAGAAAAAAUUGGAACAUACAAUGAAAGCAAUAAUUAUUGAAGGGGACACAAUAUCCGUGCAUCGACCUGGAUUUUAUUCUGAACGAUUUCAAAAUUUCUUUGCUAAUACUGCUUUUAAGAAAACCCAAACUCCCUUGAAGCAUUCCCCUUCCAAAAAGAAGACUUCCAUAGCUGGCCGGCCACGUUUUCCUACAACCAGUGAACUUGCUGCUGAUGCUGGACAGACCAGCAAGCAAUCCGACAGAAACCAACGCACUAUUAGCUUUUCAGAUGAAAGUGGUAAAAAGUCUGCUUUGGGAGGCAGACCAGAUAUUGUACCUGAAAACCAUGCCAGCUUAUAUGGUGAAAGGGAUUCUUAUCAUAGUGGAGAGUAUACAUAUAACAAAGACGGCCAGAGGAAAAUGAGAUCUCUUGACUCUGGAAGAUCUGGACUUACUGAUCAUGGGAAAAGUUCCACUUCCUGUAUGACUCAUUUUCUUGGAUUGAUAGGAGAUGGCUGCAUCUGCUCGAUGGUGAAUGCACCGUCUCAGGUGAAUUCUUUCUCUCGCUCAUCUCCUAGGACACGUAAAAGAUCUGAUAUGGUAUCUAAUGCAUCUUCUAGUCCAACCUUCACAAGAUCUGACAUGUGUGGAGGAGUAUUACCUCCAGCCAGCAGUUUGGGUCACUCACCUCCACUCAGUUUGUCUGAGUCUACACCUACUCAUACUGAGUACACAGAAGGUACACCGAGCUAUACAACCUCAAGUCCUAGUUGUUCCAGUGAUGUACUAGACACCAAAAGAAAGGUCUAUCCUCCCGGAAAGAUUAUCUCCAUGUGUAAUGAUCGGAUUCACUGUGGAAACUCUGUCAAACCUCACUGCCAGCACCUUGGUUUGACCAGAAAAUACAUAGACUGCGGAAGUAGAGCUAGGUUAAGCCAGAGUCUUCCGACUAUGUGGGCUUCGGCUUUGAGUAUGGAAAAAGAGUCCACAUGCAGUGAUUCCCAGUCUUUUGCACCCUUCAGUUCCAGUGAGGCUGGCACACUGGCAGGUACUUCUCCUUUGUCUGGAACACCUGAUAAAGUAUCUCCCAUGAAGAAAGGGAGCAGUAGCACAGAGACGUCAUAUGCCAGUGCCUUGGAGGCGCAAGAUAAUUACGACACGGACCCCAACGUGUUACGGGCUGCACAGUCUGUCAUUAGAGAAUCUGCUAUCCAUGUGAUGGCGAGCAACCUAGAUGACCACCCAGAAGAAGUGGAAGGUGAUUUUUUACAUGGAAUGUCAAGCUGACUUAGGAAAAAAGUUUUGGAUUUUGUAAAUUUAAUUUGAGCAUGCGCUAUUUAGACUCAUUUAUAGGCAGCUGUGAUUAUUCCUGUGUGUACCCUGGUGAAAAAUGGGCGGCCAACAGUCUGCAGUCAUUCUGUGAUGUUGUCAUGCAGGUUACUAAUUCACCAA